AUGAUCUGGCAUGUACAGAAUGAAAACUUCAUUCUCGAUUCUACGAGAAUUUUUAUGAAAGCGUUUCAUUUGCUUCUCUUCAAUGGAAGUUUCAUUAUCCCAGAAUGCAUCCUAAUUUUUGGCCUAAUUCUUCUUCUGAUGAUCGAUUCAACCUCUGAUCAAAAAGAUAGACCUUGGUUCUAUUUCAUCUCUUCAACAAGUUUAGUAAUAAGCAUAACGACCCUAUUG
rnacentral:rRNA from 1 species